CUUAGGUACUCGAGUGGCGAACGGGUGAGUAACACGUGGGUGAUCUGCCCUGCACUUCGGGAUAAGCCUGGGAAACUGGGUCUAAUACCGGAUAGGAGCCAUUUUUAGUGUGAUGGUUGGAAAGUUUUUUCGGUGUAGGAUGAGCUCGCGGCCUAUCAGCUUGUUGGUGGGGUAAUGGCCUACCAAGGCGGCGACGGGUAGCCGGCCUGAGAGGGUGGACGGCCACAUUGGGACUGAGAUACGGCCCAG
rnacentral:rRNA from 1 species